rnacentral:rRNA from 1 species
GACGAACGCUGGCGGCGUGCUUAACACAUGCAAGUCGAACGGAAAGGCCCUGCUUUUGUGGGGUGCUCGAGUGGCGAACGGGUGAGUAACACGUGAGUAACCUGCCCUUGACUUUGGGAUAACUUCAGGAAACUGGGGCUAAUACCGGAUAGGAGCUCCUGCUGCAUGGUGGGGGUUGGAAAGUUUCGGCGGUUGGGGAUGGACUCGCGGCUUAUCAGCUUGUUGGUGGGGUAGUGGCUGACCAAGGCUUUGACGGGUAGCCGGCCUGGGAGGGUGACCGGCCACAUGGGGCCUGCGGUACGGCCCAGACUCCUACGUGAGGCAGCAGUGGGGAAUAUUGCCCAAUGGGCGGAAGCCUGAUGCAGCAACGCCGCGUGCGGGAUGCCGGCCUUCGGGUUGUAAACCGCUUUCGCCUGUGACGAAGCGUGAGUGACGGUAAUGGGUAAAGAAGCACCGGCUAACUACGUG